AGCUUAUUGGUGUAUCAACAUAUAGAAUUUUCACUUCUAAGUAUAAGAGC
rnacentral:tRNA from 1 species